GGUUGCGAUCAUACCAGCACUAAUGCACUGGAUCCCAUCAGAACUCCGCAGUUAAGCGUGCCUGAGCGAGAGUAGUACUAGGACGGGUGACCCCCACUCCGCAGUUAAGCGUGCCUGAGCGAGAGUAGUACUAGGAUGGGUGACCCCCUGGGAAGUGCUCGUGUUGCAACCC
rnacentral:rRNA from 1 species